GAUGAACGCUGGCGGCGUGCCUAAUACAUGCAAGUCGAGCGAACAGACGCGGACCUUGCUCCUCUGACGUUAGCGGCGGCCGGGUGAUUAACACGUGGAUAACCUCCCUCUCAGACUGGCAUAACUUCGGCAAACCGGAGCUACUACCGGAUAAUAUCUUGCACCGCAUGGAUCAAUAGUGAAAGACGGUUUUUGUGUCACUUCUAGAUCGAUCCGCGACGCCUUAGCUAGUUGUCAAGGUAACGGCUUACCAAGGCAACGAUGAGUCGCCGACCCGAAGGGGUGGUGUGCCACACUGGAACUGAGCCACGGUCCAGACUCCUACGGGAGGCGGCAGUAGGGAAUCUUCCGCAAUGGGCGAAAGCUUGACGGAGCAACGCCGCGUGAGGGAUGAAGGUCUUCGGAUCGUAAAACUCUGUUAUUAGGGAAGAACAAAUGUGUAAGUAACUAUGCACGUCUUGACGGUACCUAAUCAGAAAGCCACGGCUAACUACGUG
rnacentral:rRNA from 1 species